rnacentral:rRNA from 1 species
CCUANGGGGGGCAGCAGUCGCGAAAACUUUGCAAUACACGAAAGUGUGACAGGGCUAUCCCGAGUGCCAUCCGCUGAGGAAGGCUUUUACCCAGUCUAGAACGCUGGGGGAAUAAGGAGAGGGCAAGUCUGGUGUCAGCCGCCGCGGUAAUACCAGCUCUCCGAGUGGUGUGGAUGUUUAUUGGGCCUAAAGCAUCCGUAGCUGGCUGAGUUAGUCCCUUGUUAAAUCCACCGAAUUAAUCGUUGGAUUGCGGGGGAUACUGCUCGGCUAGGGGACGAGAGAGGCAGACGGUAUUUCUGGGGUAGGGGUGAAAUCCUAUAAUCCCAGGAGGACCACCAGUGGCGAAGGCUGUCUGCUAGAACGCGCCCGACGGUGAGGGAUGAAAGCUGGGGGAGCGAACCGGAUUAGAUACCCUANUANUC